UACAGAGGGUGCGAGCGUUGUCCGGAAUCACUGGGCGUAAAGGGCGCGUAGGCGGCUUGAUAAGCGUGCGGUGAAAGCCCGGGGCUCAACCCCGGGUCGGCCGUGCGAACUGUCGAGCUGGAGCACUGUAGAGGCAGGUGGAAUUCCGGGUGUAGCGGUGGAAUGCGUAGAGAUCCGGAAGAACACCGGUGGCGAAGGCGGCCUGCUGGGCAGUGGCUGACGCUGAGACGCGAAAGCGUGGGGAGCAAACAGG
rnacentral:rRNA from 1 species